rnacentral:siRNA from 1 species
UGGCACUCUAUUUUGAUGACAUG